rnacentral:rRNA from 1 species
AAACUUAAGAGUAUGAUUCUGGCUCAGGAUGAACGCUGGCGGCGUGCUUAACACAUGCAAGUCGAACGAAGAGGAUAAGAAAGAGCGCUUCGGCAGGAUUUUUUAUCAUCUUAGUGGCGGACGGGUGAGUAACGUGUGGGCAACCUGCCCUGUACUGUGGAAUAAUCAUUGGAAACGAUGACUAAUACCGCAUGUGGUCCUCAGAGGGCAUCCUCAGAGGAAGAAAGGAUACGUUCGGUACAGGAUGGGCCCGCAUCUGAUUAGCUAGUUGGUGAGAUAACAGCCC